GACGAACCGUCCAAACGUUAUUCGGAAUCACUGGGCUUACAGAGUUCGUAGGCGGUCUGGAAAGUUGGGUGUGAAAUCCCUCAGCCUAACCGAGGAACUGCGCUUGAAACUACCAGACUCGAGGGAGAUAGAGGAAAGCGGAACUGAUGGUGGAGCGGUGAAAUGCGUUGAUAUCAUCAGGAACACCGGUGGCGAAGGCGGCUUUCUGGGUCUUACCUGACGCUGAGGAACGAAAGCCAGGGGAGCGAACGGG
rnacentral:rRNA from 1 species